CCUACGGGAGGCAGCAGUGGGGAAUAUUGCACAAUGGGGGAAACCCUGAUGCAGCGACGCCGCGUGAAGGAAGACGUAUUUCGGUAUGUAAACUUCUAUCAGCAGGGAAGAAAAUGACGGUACCUGACUAAGAAGCCCCGGCUAACUACGUGCCAGCAGCCGCGGUACUACGUAGGGGGCAAGCGUUAUCCGGAUUUACUGGGUGUAAAGGGAGCGUAGGCGGUUCAGCAAGUCAGAAGUGAAAGCCCGGGGCUCAACUCCGGGACUGCUUGUGAAACUGUUGAACUAGAUUGCAGGAGAGGUAAGUGGAAUUCCUGGUGUAGCGGUGAAAUGCGUAGAUAUCAGGAGGAACACCAGUGGCGAAGGCGGCAUACCGGACUGUAAAUGACGCUGAGGCUCGAAAGCGUGGGGAGCAAACAGGAUUAGAUACCCGAGUAGUC
rnacentral:rRNA from 1 species